UGUCUAGCGGCGGACGGGUGAGUAACACGUGGGUAACCUGCCCAUAAGAACUGGGAUAACUCCGGGAAACCGGGGCUAAUACCGGAUAACAUUUUGAACCGCAUGGUUCGAAAUUGAAAGGCGGCUUCGGCUGUCACUUAUGGAUGGACCCGCGUCGCAUUAGCUAGUUGGUGAGGUAACGGCUCACCAAGGCAACGAUGCGUAGCCGACCUGAGAGGGUGAUCGGCCACACUGGGACUGAGACACGGCCCAGACUCCUACGGGAGGCAGCAGUAGGGAAUCUUCCGCAAUGGACGAAAGUCUGACGGAGCAACGCC
rnacentral:rRNA from 1 species